UACGUAGGGUGCAAGCGUUAUCCGGAAUUAUUGGGCGUAAAGAGCUCGUAGGCGGUCUGUCGCGUCUGCUGUGAAAACUGGGGGCUCAACCCCCAGCCCUGCAGUGGGUACGGGCAGACUAGAGUGCGGUAGGGGAGAUUGGAACUCCUGGUGUAGCGGUGGAAUGCGCAGAUAUCAGGAAGAACACCAGUGGCGAAGGCAGACUCUGGGCCGUAACUGACGCUGAGGAGCGAAAGCGUGGGGAGCGAACAGG
rnacentral:rRNA from 1 species